UUUAUGGGAACAAUAUUGGUGACACUUCCACCAAGCAUAUCAAGCUUCUGAGGUGGCAAGCCUAAUCACUAGUCCUUACGCUUUGCAAAGGAAAUGAAAGCAUGCAUGGCUUAACCAAAAGGUAUAUAUAUAUAGUAUCACAAAUAAUUAGGUAAGUAACGAAUAUAACAUUAAAAUGGCUAAAAAGGCCCUAGGUCAAAAUAGAUUGCUAACAAUAACAUUAAUACAAAGCCUAAAAAUAUGGGAUCUCACACCACAGUUUCUUGUGGAUACGUCUUUGAUCAUUUGACAAUGCAACAAGGUACAUGCCUCAUCUCGGGCAUUUUCCUAGCAUUGUUGGGGUCAAUUUAUUCAUAGAGACAUGUGGGUGUACAACAAAAGAUCUCUAAUUUUUAUAGUGGAAGGACUAUAUUCUAAGAUAUAAUUUAGGAGUCUUUGGGCCAUGCAUAUCAAUAUGAUUUAGGAAGUAUGCUCUAAAUCUUAUUCAGUAGAAUCAUAUAGAAGUAUUACAUUGGAUCGUAGACGUGAAAUAAACUAUCAAAUAAACAAUGUGGUUCAGUGACACGCCCGA
rnacentral:lncRNA from 1 species